UAGGGAAUCUUCCACAAUGGACGAAAGUCUGAUGGAGCAACGCCGCGUGAGUGAAGAAGGUUUUCGGAUCGUAAAGCUCUGUUGUUGGUGAAGAAGGACAGAGGCAGUAACUGGUCUUUAUUUGACGGUAAUCAACCAGAAAGCCACGGCUAACUACGUGCCG
rnacentral:rRNA from 1 species